GCUAGGAGAGGUACCAGUCGCCUCUCUUCUCAUUCUCACGCGUUUCACCAGCUCACUCCACAAUCCUUACAAACGUUCACAUCGAAAAUGCACGCCGCCGCGCCGGACUUCGUCACCGGCGGCGGUGGAGCCCUUACCCUCAAUCUCACCUCUAACUAACAUAAAACCUAUCACUUCGCUCCAAUCGAAACUCGAAAGAAUAUGAACCCUAAAACUAAAACAUGUGACUAAACUGAAGCAUAAGGGAAAUCGAGCCAGCAAUCAGAGGGAUUUCAUCAUUACAUUGAGAAGAACAACCUAUUCUGCAAAAAAAAAAAGAUCCAAGAGUACCGAUGACGAGGACGUAAGUCGGCGAAGCCUUCCUCUCCAGGUUAUUGUCCUCAAUCUGAAACCUUGCCUUUCAUGAUGAUCUUUGGCUCAGCGAAGAAGAUGAGAUGAACGAAGCAGCACACUUAGGUUAGUUCAAUAUCUGAUGCAGAACCGUGAGUUGAUGUAGUUUUGCCUGGUCGUUAGGAUGAAGCUCCGGUUAGAGGUUUUAUCGGAAGUUCCGCGGCUUGAUGAAUGGUGGAUCUCGAAUGUGAAUUCGGGAGUUUUGGAAUGGAGAAUUUUGAAGGUGAAUUAUGAAGUUUUUAUCAAUCUGUGUUUUUUCAAUACAACCAUGAAUGGUGAGUUUUAUCCCCCGGUUUCAGUUUUUUUUCUUUUUCCGGUUAGUUUUUAGUUGUAAAUUCUGUUACAACAGUUAGUGAGAACUUUUGAUUAACUCUGCUAUGUUAGUGUUGCAAGUUGACAUUGUCGUUAGAAUGAUUCGUUGGUUUUUCUGCCUCAAUUUCUGAUGCAUUAUUGAACUGAUGUGUGAUGAAUACAUGGUUGCUAAUGAUAAUUCUAGUUUGUUUUGAGUUUUGGCUGGCUACUGAAUGAUGCUUAUGCUUGUAAUGAACAUGUUGGUAUGUGAUGUUGAUGUUGCUAAGUGAAUCCGUUAUGAAUGCAUAAUAAUGAGAUGCUGCAAGUGUGGAUUGGAAUCGAAAUUAUGCUAUGGUCGUUUUGUUUUCUUAAUGUUAGUUCGUGUAGUGGUAAAUUCAUGACAAUCGAAUUAUUGAUUAAAUCAACGUCAAUAAAACCAAAGUAGUUAUUGCGCUUUUAUUGUUUCCAAAGGAAAAGGAAAAAGUACAAAGAAAACCCAAAGAUAAGAAGUUUUCAAAUCAAAACUAAUAAAAUGUCGGAGAUUACAGGUAAGUGGUUGGUUACACCGAUGGAAUGUAUUAGCAUCCAAAGUGCCCUAGAUACUCCUAGGGAGCCUUUUUUGUGUGCAGGUGUUUUGGUCAAAAAGAUCUUUGAUAAAAGAAUGUAGAGUGAAGGGAUGAGAAAAGAAUUCUUUAAUUAUAUUUUUGUUUUUGGCAAGAUUGUCUUAUGCCUACGUACUAACAUAAAAAUGAGGGAUCAAAAUUUCAUAAUUUGUGGUAAAUUUUUAAAAAAAAGUUGGUGAAUUGAUUUUAAUAACAGAAAAAUGCACAAAAAGGUCAAAGACUUGAAUGAGGUUUGUUAGUUCUUUUUGUCUUUCGAAAUUAAAGUCAAUAUGGUUAAGUUCAUUCACAAGUUUGAUUAAGAAAAAGGUUGAAAAUUCAUUGAGAUAAAACCAAAGUUUCUAAUCAUUAAAAUAUGUCUAAGUUGAAAACACAACCAAAGAAGGUUUUGAAAGGAGGGAGAGAUUUUGAAAUUAAAGAAGUGGGAGAAGAUGAAGAGAUUACCUUAGACAAAAAUUAAAAGUUAAGAGUUGAAAAGAUUUUACCAAUGAGAUGCAAUCCACAAGACAAAAAUGUUCGAUAGAAACCCAUUUCCUUUGGACUUUUGAGCAAGCGAUAAACAUAAGCAAACAUCCAAAAAAAUCAUAUGAAGACCAAUGCAUCAAAUAAAGAUAGCCAUAACAUCCUAACAAUCACUCCAAUAGUCAACAGUCUUCAAUGUCUUCACAUGUAUCAAAUGAAAAUAUUCCUUGGUAAACUCUCAGAAACAAUCAUCAGACAUCAAUCACAAAGUCAAUCAAAUGACUCAUUAAUAUACCAUCAAAUCCCUUUAAAUCAUCAAAUAAAUGGUCAAUGGAUUAAUCCUAGGUCAAAUAAGGUCAAAGGACCUUAGACAAUUUGUUUUAGAAUUUUUGGAAAGUCAAAAGUAUUUUAAAAUAUUUAAAAACAAGUUCAAAAUCAUUUAAUUCACAAAAAAAUAUCAAAAUUAAUCCAAAAAAUGAUUUUAAUUCAAAAUAUGGAAGAAAAAAAUAUUUAAAGAUUUUGGUGAAAAUCCCAUAUUUUUUGGAUUAAAAAUGAAUCUAAUAUGAAUUAAACAAAAUAGAAGGAUUUAAAAAAAACCAGAAAUUAAAAUAAAAAUAAGAAAAAACAAGAGCCGUCAGAUCUCUCUCGUUAAUUAAGGUGGCAUAUUUGAUGUCCACACGUGUGAUUUUGAUCUCUCAUUUUUAUAUUGGUACGUAGGCCUAAGACCGAAAGUCUUGUCAAUCGAUAUUUAUCAUUCGAUGUUUUUUCAGUACAGCCGUGAAUGGUGAGUUUUAUACCCCGGUUUUAGUUGUUUUUUUUUCCAGUUAGUUAUUAGUUGUAAAUUCUGUUACAAUAGUUAGUGAGAACUUUUGAUUAACUCUGCUAUGUUAGUUUUGCAAGUUUGACAUUGCCGGUAGAAUGAUUUGUUGAUUUUUCAGCUUUAAUUUCUGAUGCAUUAUUGAACUGUUGUGUGAUGAAUACCUGGUUGCUAAUGAUAAUUCUAAUUUGUUUUGAGUUUUGGCCAACUACUGAAUGAUGCUUAUGCUUGCAAUGAACAUGUUGGUAUGUGAUGUUGAUGCUGCUAAGUGAAUCCGUUAUGAAUGCAUGAUAGUGAGCUGCUGCUAGUAUGGAUUGGAAUCAAAAUUAUGCUAUGGUCGUUUUGUUUUGUUAAUGUUAGUUAGGUUGAGUGUUAUGUUUAUGAAAAGUACUUACAUGUUGAAUUGCUUUUGGACAUGUUAAGAGGGCUUUGGUUUUUACUGUCACGGAUUUUGUAAACAGAGUUGGAUGCACACAUGAAGAUGAAAUUGGAAGGUUGAUGGAUGAAGGCUUUGCAUUGACUUGAAGGAAUUUUGGUCAUGAGUGUUUGAGGUUGCUUGAUGGAAGGCCAUGAAAUUGGCUAUGAAGCUACUUGGAAUUUUGUUGUAAAUUUGUAGUUUGAAAUGUAAUAUGUAGUAGUUAGUUAUGAUUAUGGUUGUAACUUGUGUAUUGGAAAAUGAAUGUGAUUGGAAAUUUGGAAAUUGAAUGGAAGAUUUGUAUGUUA